rnacentral:lncRNA from 1 species
CGGCUGGUAAUCUACACACGCAGAACAUUUGGUUCUGCAAUAAAAACCGUGAGAGGAUUUUCCGGUUGUGCUUGAGUGGAGUAAUUGUCACCGCUUCAAAGGGUAUGUACAUUUCUAAAUCUCAAUUUUCUUAUUCAACUGAUCAAAAUAUUGAAAAUCGGAGAAUGUCAUGCUGUGGUGAAUACUUUAACGAAGAGAUACAUGUAUCAUUUACUGUUGUACGUAGAGUUGAACUCCUACAAAAUCAGUUGCCCCACGAGAAAUUGCCUAAAAAAGUGACAUUUCAAUUUUGAAAUGGUUCUAUUUACAGACCUACAAGUUCAAAUUUAGUUUUUUUUUCGGCAUGGUAUGGAUGUUGUUUUUGGCGGCGUGUGUGCUGUCCUGUGUUGAUAGACGUCUUAAUAAUUUCAAAAACAACAUUUUUCCGUGAAGUCAUGCGUGAGGGGAUCGGUUCUGAUUGAGGACAUCGUGAAUGCGUGAGGGGAAGUACAGACAUUUUUUUUAAUCUUUGGCUUUGUGACUUUUGUUGACUCAAUAAAUGUGAUCAAUGCUGAUUAAAAGCACAGAUUUAUCCUUAUACUUAAAUAGAUGUAAACUGAUCACUGAUUCAAUGAAAUAAAACUAUUAAUUGUUUGUUCAAUUUCAGAAAAUGCCAUUGUUCAAAGGAAAAAGGAAAAGAGGACUGAAAUUGACUCUCUACAAAAAGCCAUGGAGAUACAAGUUAUCCCCGCCCUCGAAGCGAACUAAACCCUCUGGGAGUAGUCCUGUCGUCAAAUAUACGUCACAGAGAUCACCACAUAUAUCUAAGAAAAUGAUAUCGCCGAUGAAAACUUAUUAUUUGUUAAAAUAAGUCUGGACAUUGAGUCUCAAGCACGAGAAAACCGAUCCCCGCGAAAAAGUGACCGGACGAACAAGUUAUAUAUAAUACAUAAAAAUAGUAAAAUGCGAAUUUACGAUGAGCCAUAACGUUACAGUACAACAUAAGAACGAACUAUAAAAAUCAGUUGAAAAAAGCUUAAUUAAGAUUCAUGUUAUACACAUUUACGAAAGGAGUUAUCUCCCCU